UAAAAAAUUAUUUAUUUUAGGUAGUAACAGAUUUCUUGAAACCUAAAGAAUUUGGCGGUAUUUUAAAUAAUUAGAGGAACCUGUUAAAUAAAUGAUAAUCCACAACAUAUCUUACCAUAAUUAAGUUUGUAUACCGUUGUUUUUAGAUUAUAUUUAAAAAUUAUGAUCAAAAUUAAUUAGUUUCUAUAAAUCAAAUCAAGGUGCAGCAUAUUAGGGUUUUAAUGGGUUACAAUAUAUUUAUAUAUACGAAUAAAUUAUGAAAAUAUUUUUGAAGGUGGAUUUAAAAGUAAUUUAAAAUUAAAAAGUUUAAAUGAAUAAAAAUUUAAAAUAUGU
rnacentral:rRNA from 1 species